rnacentral:rRNA from 1 species
GAUACUUGUUUAUGAUGCGAUGGAGGGACGGAGAAGGCUAUGUCAGCCUGGCGUUGGUUGUCCAGGUGAAAGGAUGUAGGUAGGUUUAGUAGGCAAAUCCGCUAGACUAUUACUGAGAUCUGACAGCAAGCUGUACAUGUACAGCGAAGUGGCAAAUGCCCUGCUUCCAGGAAAAGCUUCUAAGCGAUAGUCAUAAACAAAUCG